UAGGGAAUAUUGGUAAUCUGGGAAACCGGGAACCAGCAACGCCGCGUGUGCGAUGAAGGCCUUCGGGUUGUAAAGCACUUUUUGAGGGGAUGAGGAAGGACAGUACCCUCAGAAUAAGCCUCGGCUAACUACGUGCCAGCAGCCGCGGUAACACGUAGGAGGCGAGCGUUAUUCGGAUUUACUGGGCGUAAAGCGCGUGCAGGCGGCUCGAUAAGUUGGAUGUGAAAGCUCCCGGCUUAACUAGGGGAGGUCGUUCAAAACUAGGCAACUAGAGAGCAGAAGAGGAAAGCAGAACUCCUGAUGUAGCGGUGGAAUGCUCAGAUAUCAGGAAGAAUACCAGUGGCGAAGGCGGCUUUCUGGUCUGCACCUGACGCUGAGAGGCGAAAGCCAGGGGAGCGAACG
rnacentral:rRNA from 1 species